rnacentral:RNase_P_RNA from 1 species
UUGGAAGGGCGGAGAAUCGCCUUUGCAGGUGUGAAACUUUUUCAUACCUGCGAAGGAGGAAAGUCCGAACACCACAGGGCGCGAUGCCGCGUAACUCCGGGUGUUGCCGGGGAUACACGCGGGCGGCCACGCCGCGAGGCGUGCCGACGGACAGUGCCACAGAAAACAGACCGCCCGGGUUGCAGGCCAGCCACGGCAAAAACCGAGCCGGCCCGGCCCCGGGUAAGGGUGAAAAGGUGAGGUAAGAGCUCACCGCUCGGAGCGCAAGCGACGAGGCAUGGUAAACCCCAUCGGGUGCAAGGCCAAAUAGGAAACCGCGGAGUGGCCCGCUCCACGUCUCCGGAGACGGAGACCGGUUUCGGGUACUGGCCGCAUAGACAAAUGAUUCUCUCCCCCGAACAAUUUCGGGGCAGACAGAAUUCGGCUUACAGCCCUUCCAAAACC